rnacentral:sRNA from 1 species
GGGUAUGGUGGCUCAUGCCUGUAAUCUCAGCUACUAGGAAAGCUGAGACAGGAGGAUCACUUGAGCUCACAGGAGUUCGAGACCAGCCUGGCCAAAAUAGCAACUAAAAUAGUAAAACUCUGUCUCAA